GUCGAACGAGCGAGAGAGAGUUUGCUUUCUCGAGCGAGUGGCGAACGGGUGAGUAACGCGUGAGGAACCUGCCUCAAAGAGGGGGACAACAGUUGGAAACGACUGCUAAUACCGCAUAAGCCCACGGGUCGGCAUCGACCAGAGGGAAAAGGAGUGAUCCGCUUUGAGAUGGCCUCGCGUCCGAUUAGCUAGUUGGUGAGGUAAUGGCCCACCAAGGCGACGAUCGGUAGCCGGACUGAGAGGUUGAACGGCCACAUUGGGACUGAGACACGGCCCAGACUCCUACGGGAGGCAGCAAUGGGGAAUAUUGCACAAUGGGGGAAACCCUGAUGCAGCGACGCCGCGUGGAGGAAGAAGGUCUUCGGAUUGUAAACUCCUGUUGUUGGGGAAGAUAAUGACGGUACCCAACAAGGAAGUGACGGCUAACUACGUGCCAGCAGCCGCGGUAAAACGUAGGUCACAAGCGUUGUCCGGAAUUACUGGGUGUAAAGGGAGCGCAGGCGGGAAGACAAGUUGGAAGUGAAAUCCAUGGGCUCAACCCAUGAACUGCUUUCAAAACUGUUUUUCUUGAGUAGUGCAGAGGUAGGCGGAAUUCCCGGUGUAGCGGUGGAAUGCGUAGAUAUCGGGAGGAACACCAGUGGCGAAGGCGGCCUACUGGGCACCAACUGACGCUGAGGCUCG
rnacentral:rRNA from 1 species